GCAUUGACAAUUAUUUAUGAACGUUGAACCAUGAAAGAAUUGAAUUAUUUUUGUUCAGGGGUGGGUUUGCCCCUGAACAUUUAAUUUCAAGAUCAGUGUUCUACAGCGUUUGUCAAAUUCAGGACUGGCGCUGGAAGCUGUAGGUGGAGGGAAGACCAGGAAGGGUGCAGCUCUGCAGAUGCUGAAGGUGUGCCAAAGGGUCACGUGUGUUCCUGAAGGGACUGAGGCGACGCAGUCGGAGGUCCCGGCGGUGGCGGUCAGCGGGAGGUGUCGAGACCAACCAGCUCCUCGUCCAGGAAAGGUCUCGAUGGAAGAGCAGAUGGCUGUGCAGUUGCCAUGGUACAGAGACCCAGAGUAUGAUGACCGAACAAUGGAUCUACAACGAUGGCCUACUCCCCAUCCACCCUGAGGAUCCCUGGCUGCACCUACAAUCCAAUCUACACCAGACAUAACCACUUGGAGCUCAACAACUCCUACAACUCCUCCUGCCUCCUACACACCAUACUGUUACCACUUUACCAUUUUAACUUUAAAAAAAAAAAGUACUGUAAUUCACACCAUGUUGUAGGAAAAGCAUGUUUAGCUCAAUGAUUUAUACAUUCUAUUUCUGUGACCCCAACUAUUGUAUUUCUAACCCAGUUACCUCUGAACCCUCUUUCUAAGGGAGCGACUAAAGGGACAAAGCUGGAGCUAACCUGAGCUUAACAAUCGUUCUUUCAAAUGUCCUAAAUUGAAACACAUAAAAUGCCUAAAGUAACUUGUCUAACAAAACAAAAAGCCAACCUAAUACCCAAACUUAACCAUCUAACUCUAAAGAUCUCAAAUGCCUAAACUCUCUUACCUUAAACGAGUACCUAAACCGAACCAUUUAACUAAACAUCUCAAAGGCAUAAACUCGCUUACCUCAACCUAACCUAAUACCCAAACUUAACCAUCUAACUGAAGAGCUCAAACACCUAAACUCUUACCUUAACCUAGUACCUAAACUGAACCAUCUAACUAAACAUCUCUAAUAACUAAACUCUUUCCUAAUACCUAAACAAUCUUUAAUGCAAUCACUAAUGCCUAAACUUAAACAAACACCAAUAAUAAAAGUUAAGCAUCCUUAAUCUUAAACCCAAACCAGACUUGUCCCUGGGUCGCUCCACUUUGUGUCUUUGAAGGCAUCUCUUUUCCCCUGCAUCUGUACAUCAAGUACUUCAGAUGAUAUUUGAAAACUUGUUUCAUUAAUUAUCUCCAUCCUACCUGAAGGACCUGAUUAUUCCUUAUUUUGAAUAUGAUGUGCAUGUAUUUACCUGUAUGUCAAUUGUGGCACCCAUUGCACUCCUGACCAUCCCUGGAAGAAGGGAUCCCCUCCACUGCGUUUCUUCUCAAGAUUUCUUCCUUGCUGAUUCAAGGGAGUUUUUUCUUGCCCGUGUGGGGGCAUGGGUAAAGGGGGGUGUCACAAAUAUUUGGCCUGUUAAGCCCUUUGAGACUGUAAUGGUGAUUAAGGGCUAUACAAAUAAAAUUGAAUUGAAUAAAGAUACUUCAUCUUUACAGAUUUUGUUUUGGGGAAUUGGGACAGCAGAGCAUCUUAAGCAUCCUUACUGGUGAACCUGAUCUGACGAUAUCAAUCAUAGGACUAUGAAGCUGCAGAGUUCUUCCAAGAAAGGGUUCCAUUCCAGGAUAGCUUUUAACACACUUUAUUUGUUAAAGUAUUUUGGUACGGUAACUACGGAGCAAAAGGAGGUGGAAGCGUGUUGAGCACGUGCUGAGCGACUCCCAGCUGAUCAAAAACAUUAACCCUUUGUCUGGCAGCAGCUAGAAGAUUCUGAAGUCCAACUUCUCUGUCGAGAUUGAACUGAAAUGCAAUGCACAACAUGCAAUUUGUCCUUAGUUC